GAUGAAGAACGCAGCGAAAUGCGAUAAGUAAUGUGAAUUGCAGAAUUCAGUGAAUCAUCGAAUCUUUGAACGCACAUUGCGCCCGGUAGUAUUCUGCCGGGCAUGCCUGUUCGAGCGUCAUUUCAACCAUCAAGCCCCAGCGCUUGUGUUGGGGGCCUGCGGCUGCCGCAGCCCCCUAAAAGCAGUGGCGGGCUCGCUGUCACACCGGGCGUAGUAGAUUUUAUCUCGCUCAGGGCGUGCUGCGGGUUCCGGCCGUUAAAAAGCCUUUUUUACCCAAGGUUGACCUCGGAUCAGGUAGGAAGACCCGCUGAACUUAAGCAUAUCAAUAAGCGGAGGA
rnacentral:misc_RNA from 1 species